AUUGUGUGAAUACAUAGCACAUUCGAGGUAGACGCAGAGAACUGAAACAUCUAAGUACCUGCAGGAAGAGAAAGAAAAUUCGAUUCCCUGAGUAGCGGCGAGCGAAACGGGAAAAGCCCAAACCAGCAAGCUUGCUUGUUGGGGUUGUAGGACUCCAAUAUGGUAGUUCUUUCAGAUAGUCGAAUGACUUGGAAAAGUCAGUCAAAGAGGGUAAAAACCCCGUAGACGAAAUGUGGAAGACACCUAGGAGGAUCCUGAGUACGGCGGAACACGAGAAAUUCCGUCGGAAUCCGGGAGGACCAUCUCCCAAGGCUAAAUACUCCCUAGUGACCGAUAGUGAACCAGUACCGUGAGGGAAAGGUGAAAAGCACCCCGGAAGGGGAGUGAAAUAGAACCUGAAACCGUGUGCCUACAACAAGUCAAAGCCCGUUAAUGGGUGAUGGCGUGCCUUUUGUAGAAUGAACCGGCGAGUUACGAUUGCAUGCGAGGUUAAGUUGAAGAGACGGAGCCGCAGCGAAAGCGAGUCUGAAUAGGGCGUUUGAGUAUGUAGUCGUAGACCCGAAACCAUGUGAUCUACCCAUGUCCAGGUUGAAGGUGCGGUAAAACGCACUGGAGGACCGAACCCACGUACGUUGAAAAGUGCGGGGAUGAGGUGUGGGUAGCGGAGAAAUUCCAAACGAACUUGGAGAUAGCUGGUUCUCUCCGAAAUAGCUUUAGGGCUAGCCUCGGAAUUGAGA
rnacentral:rRNA from 1 species